UACAGAGGUCCCGAGCGUUGUUCGGAUUCACUGGGCGUAAAGGGUGCGUAGGUGGCGUGGUAAGUUUGAUGUGAAAGCUCAGGGCUUAACCCUGAAAUGGCAUUGAAUACUACUGUGCUGGAGGUUUGGAGGGGGGACUGGAAUUCUUGGUGUAGCAGUGAAAUGCGUAGAUAUCAAGAGGAACACCAGUGGCGAAGGCGGUUGCCUGGGGCUGUGCUGACGCUGAUGCGCGAAAGCGUGGGGAGCGAUCCGG
rnacentral:rRNA from 1 species